rnacentral:lncRNA from 1 species
UGUGAGAACACUGGGGCUGGAAGCAGGGGAGAGGAGUGUGUGUCUCAGGAAGCUGCAGGCCAUCCUGCCCUCUGGGGCCGCAGGCUCACUACUGGGACAUGCAUGGUUCGCUCUUCCCUGACCAAGUGUCGUCUGGAGACCCUGUGUGCCAAUCCAGCAGCUAAGAGGGUCCCUGGAGGACGUGGACCCCAGCUCUCCCCUGUCCCACUGCAGCGGUUCCAGUCUCACAACUCCACAACUGAAAUGUCUGCCUGAUCAGUGGCUCUUCCCCAUCUAAAGGGACCCCACCUGGGUUCAUCUGCCUACCCUCAUCCCCAGGGCAGCACGGCCAUUUACCAGAUUCCUUCAGAGUCUAUGGAGCUCGCUGCCUAGUGCAAGGCACCACCUGACAGCUCACAGCCUGCCCUGCCCCUCCCGAUGCCCCUGUUUGAUCUCUCUUUCCCCGCCUCCGUCUCCCGGGUCCUCCCUCUGUCCCUCUGUUGUCUCCAUAAGCAGCUCUCGCUGUGACCCUC